AAUAAACACAGCCAUGAGUUUACGUGUCCAAGUUUGAUCGUUAGUCUUAUUUAAAUUUUUUUAUGACUAGUUUUUUUUCGUUGUUAUUAGAUUAUAAAACAUAAAUAGUACUUUAUGCGUGACUUGCAUUUUUUAGUUUUUUCAAAAAAAAUAAAACGGAUAAUUAAAAUUGGACACGGAAACUUAUGGUGCGUUUAUU
rfam:Oryza meridionalis cultivar OR44 (W2112) chromosome 3, whole genome shotgun sequence.